GUUGUUUCCUGUUUUCUCCCCGAUCUCAUCUGAUCUCGGAAGCUAAACAGGGUCGGGCCUGGUUAGUACUUGGAUGGGAGAAAGAACAAUUCUCAACUUCAUAUGGAAAACAACAAAAACA
rnacentral:rRNA from 1 species